rnacentral:lncRNA from 1 species
AAUGUGCUUUAACUUGCUCGAUGCACUAUGCUCCCACCAUUUGAAAAUGAGUUGUUGUAAGGUUAACUCACUUAUAAUGACACCUGCACAUGAAGCAAACUGCUUCCAUAGCUUUUGGGCUAUGAGAGCUGUAAGUAAAAGAUGAGACAUAGUCUCCAUUUCCCCAGUUUCACAACAGUAGCAUUUGGAAACUACUUGCAUCUUUCUCCUUUUAAGAUUAUCAUCUGUAGCAAUUAUCCUUCUCCACACUCUCCAAAGAAAGAAACUAAUCUUAAUUGGCAAACCUUUAAACC